AUGUGUAACUGGGUCUAUAUUGUUGUAUAUUUUCACAAAAUGUUUUCUUUAAUUUAUUUGUCCUCUUAUACUUGUCUGUCUUUGUGUUCCUCUGUGUCUGCUAUGAGGGGUUUGGUCCUCCAGCUCCGCCCUACUUUCUUCUUCUUUUGUUUGGGGUCCUCCAGCACCAUUAUAAAUGUUAAGUUGUUCAUUUCCUCUUCCCUUUUGUUACUCGUUCCACUGGGAAGAGGCAAGUUUUAUAAUCUAUUGUAAUCCUUUCAUUUAUAUUGUCCAAAUGUUUAUUUUUUUUCUUCUGUAUUAAUGUUAGGUGUUUUAAUAUUUUUAUUCGAGUUGCUAUUAUGCAUUUAUAAGAUUUGAUGCAUGCUAACAUUAUGAUUUUGUAUAGAUCGGGUUGGAGAACUGGAGCACAUGCUACGUGCUAAUGCUAAUAUCUCCCGAUUGACAGGCUGAAUAAACGGAGUCCUCCUCCAAACCCAGA